GACGUAGGGCGCGAGCGUUGUCCGGAUUUACUGGGCGUAAAGAGCGUGUAGGCGGCCACGCAGGUCCGUUGUGAAAACUGAAGGCUCAACCUCCAGACGUCGACGGAAACCGUAUGGCUAGAGUCCGGAAGAGGAGAGUGGAAUUCCUGGUGUAGCGGUGAAAUGCGCAGAUAUCAGGAAGAACACCAAUGGCGAAGGCAGCUCUCUGGGACGGUACUGACGCUGAGACGCGAAAGCGUGGGGAGCGAACAGG
rnacentral:rRNA from 1 species